GUAUCAUGGCUCAGAUUGAACGCUGGCGGCAUGCCUUACACAUGCAAGUCGAACGGUAACAGGUCUUCGGACGCUGACGAGUGGCGAACGGGUGAGUAAUACAUCGGAACGUGCCCAGUCGUGGGGGAUAACUACUCGAAAGAGUAGCUAAUACCGCAUACGAUCUGAGGAUGAAAGCGGGGGACCUUCGGGCCUCGCGCGAUUGGAGCGGUCCGAUGGGCAGAUUAGGUAGUUGGUGGGAUAAAAG
rnacentral:rRNA from 1 species